UCUGUGUAUGUUCAGUUUGUGUGGGUUGAUAAAAGCGCCUUGUUUCCAAAUCGUCCUAUUGCUUCUUUUAAUUUAAUUGCAAAUGUUUGGUCGUAAUCCGAAAGAGUAGUGUUACAGUCUGUGUCUGUGCUCCUUGAAAAAUAUUAAUUUUUCAUCGUAUUGUUGCUAGCAGUUUCUACAACAAAGAAACUUUACAUGCGUACUGAAGCUUAUCGAACUGUAUGAGAAAUCGUUUCGCGGAAACUAUUGAAACAAUCUGCUCUUAAGCCAACCUCAGCGUCGCACGUUGUUAAGCAAACACAGUAUGGUCGCUCUCCUUAUACGAAUUGAUGAUUUGCUCCACAAGUGGAAGAUUUUUGUUUAAUAAGUUUACUGCUGGAACUGGCUUUGUAAAAUCAAAGAACAAACUUGAAAGCUUUCUUCAGAAACCGCUUGUCCUUCGGUUGCUGAAAGUUCAUUAGAUGUUUGUCGAUAAAAACCAGCCAUAGCAAACAGGUGUUGGUCUAAAACGUGUUGUACUAAAAAUUAUCUCGUACGAUGCACGGAUAAACCGAUUUUAGGCUACGGAGUGCGAGCUUCGCCAAGAAGCACAAGAGCUUUAAAGCUCCUAUAUGGUGCAGCUUAAAGCUUUGCAGAGGAAAAUUUCAAACUUUGCUGCCCUCGUCACCGAUUUUCCACAAGGAGGAAAGUUACAGUUUCCAAACUCCAACAGAGUGUUUUUUCAAGCUCAUCCAUCCACAGUGAAGCCCUUACUUAAUCCUGGAGCAAUCAUUUCUAUCCUGAUCGUAAGGAAGGGUUGUAUAGAUAUUAUCUUAGUAUUACUAUUGAAAUGAUAUUUAUUGCUCAUCAAAACAUGAUAAAAUAUUGGCUUGGCGGUGAUCAGCCGGUCGAAUGGUAGAGGAAAUGGUUUUCUAUGCGGCUAGAACAGGUAUCAGAUCCCAUCCCGACUUACAUAUUACUUUACUUCCACAAUUCACGUCUAUUUUUCGUCACUCGGUUGUGAAUUAUUUUAUUCCCUCGGAAGCAAGUGUUAAACAUGUUUUACAUAUCUUCAGGAAAUAAUUAAAAGUAAGGGCACUUCAUUUCCGGUUGCAGUUGAAGGUUGCGCAGCAUCUAACACAUCUCACCUAACGACACGUUCGUUAAGCAUGUUUUCCUCCUAAAACAUCCCGCUAUCAUCAAGCUUUUUAAAUUUCAAUCACACACGCACUCCAAACCUCUUACAUCAUGCCUAGUGGCGCCGUUAUCCGUCAAAUGUGUAUUUGUUCUCAAAAGCAACCAACAACUCGAAAGAACCUUGAUCCAGCUCUAAUGCACAACGCUGCGGGAAAGGAUCAUUAAUGCUACUAAACGGGGAAGCAGUGAGCUUGUUCCCGGUGUCGUUGAAGCACCGGCAAGACAAGCGUUUGGUACGCUGGUAGACUCACAAACGAGACUCGAGCAUGAACUUUUAAUUACUUCUCGAACCUCCCGGGAACGGUACAGGUUCUGUUUCUGAGAUUUCCCAGCGUGUACGAAGCUUACCGAGCUCACACAAUCAGCUUGCGUCGGAAAACGGGCGAAAGAUGAGCACAUAAAUAAAGUACACUUUUACAACUGAUAAUUAUGACACCGGCAGCCGACUGAACUGUGGCAUCGACACUACACAAAAAGGCCGGCCCGGUCGGUAAUGGAUGUUUAUUUCUGUUUAAUUGAUCCUGAAAGUAAUUUGACUGAUCAAACUACCGGUGUGUUGUAAGCCCGGCCUUCCAACCGUCUCGGUAGUGCACUAGCCACCGUUUCGUAGUCUUCGCGCGCGCGGUCUGGUGCCUCAUCUUAAGCUGCUGCGACUGCGUAAGAUACGAGCGGUUCGGCGUAACUUGUGGCGCGAUCGUACGAGAUUGUGGAUGUGGUGCAGUUAAUUAACUGCACACGAAGCGCGAUGGCGCAUCUUCCAUCGAAUGGGUUCGCAGCGGCAGGCGGUACGAACUGGGCACAAAUAAAAUCCGCUAAACUGCCUGCCCGAGUUGUUCGUAAGCGGUGGGCAGAGAGCGUUUAAGUAAAAGUAAUGGAGAAAUUAACUUCCCGCGUACGCAAACAAACAUACGGGCUUGGGAAGUGAAUGAGUAGCAGAUAAAAAAAAAAAAAAACAAAAACGGUUUCUUCCAGUCCGGCGCUGUUAAGAUAUCGCUCUGGAGUGGAUUUUCGCAGGUCGUUACCGGCCGCCGGCCGGGUCAAUAAAUAAUCGAUAUGUCAUCAUUACGCGGUAGAUAAUUUAUGGACACGUUUGCUAAUUGAGUCAUAAAAGAUGCGCCCGGUUUAGUUUAUUCAGUGCAGAACAUUAAUUUGACCGGUGCGAGUGAUUGAUUGGAGUGUCUUAGGGGUAAAUUAUUUUUAUUUGGAUUGAACAUUGAUCCCCUUGGGGCGAUAUUGCUAAUUGGAUGUGAAUCACACAGCCCAGAUUAAAAUCCUGUCCAGAUGGUUCUUAUCGUUGAUGGGUUGUUUUUUGUAUGUUUGAUGAGUUAUAGAGGAUAGGGAUUGAUUGCCUUAAGCUUUUCAGCACUAACCUCGAAACUUCGAAAGGUUUCGGACUGUAAUUUGUGGCUUACUGUAACUUGAUUUUACCCGUAGGUGGAUAGUAAGUCCUGCGUACGGGGAGGCGAUCUGGAUGGGAUUUGAACCCCUUCCCCGUCGUAUGAAGACCGGCACCGCUGUCAACUUGGCCUUCGGAACGUCCCAAG